UUUGUGAGAGAGGUAUUUGCUAUGACUUGUGAUAGCAAUAUACUGUCCAAAAAAAUUUUUUUUUGAUGAGAUUUGACUUUUAGUGAGGGAAAAUGAUUCUUGAAAAAAAGCUUUUUUUUUUGUAGUAUCCAUAGGAUCGGUUAGAUCUAGCAUAAACUUGACUAGUUCAAUUUCGCUAAUGGCUGCUUCGAGAGGGCCCC
rnacentral:lncRNA from 1 species